rnacentral:lncRNA from 1 species
AUGGAUGAGAGUUCUUCCAGAACCAGUGAAUUCCUACAGGAAGAUUUCAGAAUAAAACAACCAAAUGCUGUUUCCAGCCCUGUUCUAGGCUUGGAGGGUGUUGGGAGACCCUCUCUUGUCUUACAGCAUGUGGAUGGUCUGAAUAAUUUUUCAGGCUUUAUCUAGUGUCUGCCUCCAAAUUAUGCAAGUGAAGUCAGAAUGAGCAAGUGGGUCUGAAGCAGUAAGUUCUGUUAUAGAAAUAAACAGCAGCAGUGCCAAGGGAUCUGGACA